GACUCUUUGUUAGACAGCUAGCCAUGACUGCACACUGAACUUCUAGGCUUCUUUUUUUUUUUUUUUGAGAUGGAGUCUCACUCUGUCGUCCAGACUGGAGUGCAGUGGUGUGAUCUUGGCUCACUGCAAGCUCUGCCUCCUGGGUUCACACCAUUGUUCUGCCUCAACCUCCUGAGUAGCUGGGACUACAGAUGCCUGCCACUACACCCAGCUAAUUUUUUUGUAUUUUUUUUUCUUUAGUAGAGACAGGGUUUCACCAUGUUAGCCAGGAUGGUCUUGAUCUCCUGACUUCGUGAUCUGCCUGCCUCGGCCUCCCAAAGUGCCGGGAUUACAGGCGUGAGCCACCAUGCCCAGCCUGAACUUUUAGGUUUCUAUUUGUACUUUUAUGAAACCAUGAAGUAUACCAAGCACGAAUGUCUCAGUCUGUUUUGUGCAACAGAGUACUAUAGACUAGGUAAUUUAUAAGGAAAAUAAAUGUAUUUGGCUCAUGGUUCUGGAGGCAGAGAAGUCCAAGUUCAAGAGGCCUGCAUCUGGUGAGGGCCUUCAAUCUUGGUUGUUCCCAGCUUCUUUUUAUGACCCUUGUUGAAAACCUGGGGCCUUUCCAACAUAACCUAGACAAUUUCUAUGCUACCAAAUAAAAAAAUUUAAAUAAUAAUAAUAAUAAGCCCAUAGCAAAGUAUUUUAUCCACACUGUAUAGAUACAUUACAAAAACACCUUUAUUCCUCUAAACUGAAAAGAAAAAUGUUUAUAAAGGGACUAAAGAUUAAAAAUUAUAGGGAAUCAUUUACAAGAAAAUAAUUUUCUUUUUGAUUCAAUAAUAUAUCAAAAGUCUCCUGAGGGUAUACAUACCAUCCAUUAAUGAUUUUUCUUGUCUCACAAUGGAGUCCAAAGAAUAAAAAUAUCUCCUUUGAAGGUUUAAAUGUUACUUU
rnacentral:lncRNA from 1 species